CGAAACGAUAGAAGCUCCAGCUUGCUGGAGUGAAUUAGUGGCGAACGGGUGAGUAACACGUGAGUAACCUGCCCUUGACUCUGGGAUAAGCCUUGGAAACGAGGUCUAAUACCGGAUAGGAGCACUCAUCGCAUGGUGGGUGUUGGAAAGAAUUUCGGUCAUGGAUGGACUCGCGGCCUAUCAGCUUGUUGGUGAGGUAAUGGCUCACCAAGGCGACGACGGGUAGCCGGCCUGAGAGGGUGACCGGCCACACUGGGACUGAGACACGGCCCAGACUCCUACGGGAGGCAGCAGUGGGGAAUAUUGCACAAUGGGCGAAAGCCUGAUGCAGCGACGCCGCGUGAGGGAUGACGGCCUUCGGGUUGUAAACCUCUUUCAGUAGGGAAGAAGCGAAAGUGACGGUACCUGCAGAAGAAGCACCGGCUAACUACGUGCCAGCAGCCGCGGUAAUACGUAGGGUGCGAGCGUUAUCCGGAAUUAUUGGGCGUAAAGAGCUCGUAGGCGGUUUGUCGCGUCUGCCGUGAAAGUCCGGGGCUUAACUCCGGAUCUGCGGUGGGUACGGGCAGACUAGAGUGCAGUAGGGGAGACUGGAAUUCCUGGUGUAGCGGUGGAAUGCGCAGAUAUCAGGAGGAACACCGAUGGCGAAGGCA
rnacentral:rRNA from 1 species